UACAGAGGCCCCAAGCGUUAUCCGGAUUUAUUGGGCGUAAAGCGUCCGCAGGCUGUUUUAUAAGUCCUCGUUUAAAGCCUAGUGCUCAACACUAGUUUAGGCGAAGAUACUGUAAGACUAGAGGCCGGAUGAGGCGAGUAGAACAUCUGGUGUAGGGGUAAAAUCCGUUAAUAUCAGAUGGAAUACCAAAAGCGAAGGCAGCUCGCUUGAACGGUUCUGACGCUCAUGGACGAAAGCGUGGGUAGCGAACGGG
rnacentral:misc_RNA from 1 species